CGGCGGACGGGUGAGUAACACGUGGGUAACCUACCUAUAAGACUGGGAUAACUUCGGGAAACCGGAGCUAAUACCGGAUAAUAUUUCGAACCGCAUGGUUCGAUAGUGAAAGAUGGUUUUGCUAUCACUUAUAGAUGGACCUGCGCCGUAUUAGCUAGUUGGUAAGGUAACGGCUUACCAAGGCGACGAUACGUAGCCGACCUGAGAGGGUGAUCGGCCACACUGGAACUGAGACACGGUCCAGACUCCUACGGGAGGCAGCAGGG
rnacentral:rRNA from 1 species